ensembl:snRNA U6 U6 spliceosomal RNA
GCACUCACUUCAGCAGCACAUAUACUAAAAUUGAAAUGACACAGAGAAAAUUAGGAUGGCCUGUUAAAGGAUGACACACAAAUUUGUGAAGGAUUCCAUGUUUUU